GACGAACGCUGGCGGCGUGCUUAACACAUGCAAGUCGAACGGAAAGGCCCUGCUUUUGUGGGGUGCUCGAGUGGCGAACGGGUGAGUAACACGUGAGUAACCUGCCCUUGACUUUGGGAUAACUUCAGGAAACUGGGGCUAAUACCGGAUAGGAGCUCCUGCUGCAUGGUGGGGGUUGGAAAGUUUCGGCGGUUGGGGAUGGACUCGCGGCUUAUCAGCUUGUUGGUGGGGUAGUGGCUUACCAAGGCUUUGACGGGUAGCCGGCCUGAGAGGGUGACCGGCCACAUUGGGACUGAGAUACGGCCCAGACUCCUACGGGAGGCAGCAGUGGGGAAUAUUGCACAAUGGGCGGAAGCCUGAUGCAGCAACGCCGCGUGCGGGAUGACGGCCUUCGGGUUGUAAACCGCUUUCGCCUGUGACGAAGCGUGAGUGACGGUAAUGGGUAAAGAAGCACCGGCUAACUACGUGCCAGCAGCCGCGGUGAUACGUAGGGUGCGAGCGUUGUCCGGAUUUAUUGGGCGUAAGGGCUCGUAGGUGGUUGAUCGCGUCGGAAGUGUAAUCUUGGGGCUUAACCCUGAGCGUGCUUUCGAUACGGGUUGACUUGAGGAAGGUAGGGGAGAAUGGAAUUCCUGGUGGAGCGGUGGAAUGCGCAGAUAUCAGGAGGAACACCAGUGGCGAAGGCGGUUCUCUGGGCCUUUCCUGACGCUGAGGAGCGAAAGCGUGGGGAGCGAACAGGCUUAGAUACCCUGGUAGUCCACGCUGUAAACGGUGGGUACUAGGUGUGGGGUCCAUUCCACGGGUUCCGUGCCGUAGCUAACGCUUUAAGUACCCCGCCUGGGGAGUACGGCCGCAAGGCUAAAACUCAAAGGAAUUGACGGGGCCCCGCACAAGCGGCGGAGCAUGCGGAUUAAUUCGAUGCAACGCGUAGAACCUUACCUGGGUUUGACAUGGAUCGGGAGCGCUCAGAGAUGGGUGUGCCUCUUUUGGGGUCGGUUCACAGGUGGUGCAUGGCUGUCGUCAGCUCGUGUCGUGAGAUGUUGGGUUAAGUCCCGCAACGAGCGCAACCCUUGUUCACUGUUGCCAGCACGUUAUGGUGGGGACUCAGUGGAGACCGCCGGGGUCAACUCGGAGGAAGGUGGGGAUGACGUCAAGUCAUCAUGCCCCUUAUGUCCAGGGCUUCACGCAUGCUACAAUGGCUGGUACAGAGAGUGGCGAGCCUGUGAGGGUGAGCGAAUCUCGGAAAGCCGGUCUCAGUUCGGAUUGGGGUCUGCAACUCGACCUCAUGAAGUCGGAGUCGCUAGUAAUCGCAGAUCAGCAACGCUGCGGUGAAUACGUUCCCGGG
rnacentral:rRNA from 1 species